rnacentral:rRNA from 1 species
AGAGUUUGAUCCUGGCUCAGGACGAACGCUGGCGGCGUGCCUAACACAUGCAAGUCGAACGGAGUUGAAAGGAGCUUGCUUUUUUCAACUCAGUGGCGGACGGGUGAGUAACGCGUGAGUAACCUGCCUUUCAGAGGGGGAUAACGUUCUGAAAAGAACGCUAAUACCGCAUAAGAUUGUAGUUUCGCAUGGAGCAGCAAUCAAAGGAGCAAUCCGCUGAAAGAUGGACUCGCGUCCGAUUAGAUAGUUGGCGGGGUAACGGCCCACCAAGUCGACGAUCGGUAGCCGGACUGAGAGGUUGAUCGGCCACAUUGGGACUGAGACACGGCCCAGACUCCUACGGGAGGCAGCAGUGAGGGAUAUUGGGCAAUGGGGGAAACCCUGACCCAGCAACGCCGCGUGAGGGAUGACGGUUUUCGGAUUGUAAACCUCUGUCCUCUGUGAAGAUAGUGACGGUAGCAGAGGAGGAAGCUCCGGCUAACUACGUGCCAGCAGCCGCGGUAAUACGUAGGGAGCAAGCGUUGUCCGGAUUUACUGGGUGUAAAGGGUGCGUAGGCGGAUUGGCAAGUCAGAAGUGAAAUCCAUGGGCUUAACCCAUGAACUGCUUUUGAAACUGUUAGUCUUGAGUGAAGUAGAGGUAGGCGGAAUUCCCGGUGUAGCGGUGAAAUGCGUAGAGAUCGGGAGGAACACCAGUGGCGAAGGCGGCCUACUGGGCUUUAACUGACGCUGAGGCACGAAAGCAUGGGUAGCAAACAGGAUUAGAUACCCUGGUAGUCCAUGCCGUAAACG